rnacentral:lncRNA from 1 species
AAUUAUUUUCAUUAUUUUCCGAUCAUUUCUCAUUAUUUCUAAUUAUUUCUAAUUAUUUCCAUUAUUUGCCGAUUAAUUUCCCAUUGUUUCUGAUUAUUUCUAAUUAUUUCUCAUUAUUUCCAUUAAUUUCCGAUUAUUUCUCAUUAAUUUCCGAUUAUUUCUCAUUAUUUCUAAUUAUUUCCAAUUAUUUCCAUUAUUUUCCGAUUAUUUCCAUUAUUUCUCAUUAAUUCCAUUAUUUUCCGAUUAUUUCUGAUUAUUUCUAAUUAUUUCCAAUUAUUUCCAUUAUUUUCCGAUUAAUUUCCGAUUAUUUCUCAUUAUUUCCAUUAAUUUCCGAUUAUUUCCAAUUAUUUCCAAUUAUUUCCCUUAUUUUCCAGUUAUUUCCAUUCAUUUUAAUUAUUUCUCCCUUCUUUAAGUAUUUCCAAUUAUUCCUAAUUAUUCAGGUAAUAUUCCAAUUAUUUCCCUUAUUUCCAAUCAUUUCCUCCAACUUCUAAUAACCUCUAAUAACUCCUAAUAACUCCUAAUAACUCCUAAUAACUCCUAAUAACUCCUAAUAACUUCUAAUAACUUCUAAUAUCUCCUAAUAACUUCUAAUAUCUCCUAAUAACUUCUAAUAACUUCCAUUAAAAUUCGCCAAAAAACUGAAAAAUCCGCUUAAAAUUCGCCAAAAAAUUGAAAAAUCCACUUAAAAUUCCCUAAUAAGCUUAAUUGAAAGCUCCUAAUAAUUUCAAUUAAAACUUCCUCAUCAUUUCCUCUAAUAAUUCGCAAUUUUUGACGAUUCUGACCCAAACUUCACAAAUAAUCGGAAAAUUCCCCCCCAAAAAAAGAGAAAUUUGGGUCAAAAAUGUCCAAAUUUUGCCCAUUUCUCACGAAAUUUCCUAUCUAUUAAUUAUUAAGAACUAAUUAUCGCGAUUAAUUUUACCACGAAUUUGAUAAAUUUCACUUAAAAGUCCCCAAUUCGACCCUCAGUGCCUCAAAUCCUCACUUUGUGCCCCAAAAUCCCCCAUAAAAAUGCCAUUUUUUCAC